CGUGAGUAACCUGCCCAUAAGAGGGGGAUAAUCCAUGGAAACGUGGACUAAUACCGCAUAUUGUAGUUAAGUUGCAUGACUUGAUUAUGAAAGAUUUAUCGCUUAUGGAUGGACUCGCGUCAGAUUAGAUAGUUGGUGAGGUAACGGCUCACCAAGUCAACGAUCUGUAGCCGAACUGAGAGGUUGAUCGGCCGCAUUGGGACUGAGACACGGCCCAGACUCCUACGGGAGCAGCAUG
rnacentral:rRNA from 1 species